rnacentral:miRNA from 1 species
GACAGUGUAGAGUGAGCUUU